UUGCCAGAAAAUCAAAUCAAUUCUGUUUUAUUUUUAAGACUUGGAAGGUUUUGACUCUGUAGUACCAAUUGCUGAGAAACUUAAUCAUCCAACUACGACCAGACCAAAAGCUACUGGCAGGCGACCACCCUCCCAGUCUUUCACAUCUUCGUCCCUUUCAAGCCCAGAUUUCUUUGACUCACCAAGUCCUGAAGAAGAGAAAGAAGAACAUGUUUCCAUUACACACAAAACUAUUGAAGUGUCAAAGAAAUCAAGAACUGUUACAAUAUCACAGGUAUUUGAUAAUAAAACUCCAUUGCCUCCAAAGCCAGGAGGUUUGGCUAGUGGCAGUAAUGUACAACCAUCUCUAUCCCCUUCACCAUCACCUGGAUUUCAUUCAAUUGCUAUGGGAACAACAGGCCACAGGUCAAAUUCCCCAUCCCUACUUGGUGCAGAAGGAAAGCCAAAGACUGAACACUUGAGCCAGGGUCAGACUGCCCUGGAGGAGCUGAAAACACAAGUUAAGGAGCUAAGAACUAUCAUUGAAACGAUGAAAGACCAGCAAAAAAAAGAGAUUAAGCAGUUGCUGUCUGAAUUGGAUGAAGAAAAGAAGAUCCGUCUACGAUUGCAGAUGGAAGUUAAUGACAUAAAGAAAGCUCUUCAAUCAAAGUGAAUACUUGAUAGAUGGAAUGUUGCAUUAUUCUACGUGACUGAGACUCAAAUUUAUGCCCCAGCCAAAAUAACUUUGUGCCAAAUGAUUUAAGAAUUGCCUCAACAUCCCUUUAUCGAAGGAUUAGCACAACCGUUUUUGAUAGCACAACAGAAAUACCAACAGUGAGGAAAAAUCUUCCACACGAAGCGGUGCUGUGUGGCACUGGUUGUGACUGAAUUCGAUCUUCUUGUGCUAAAGGCUCUCUACUUCAAGAUCAUAGGUGAAAUGAAAACUCAGGCAGUUUAGUCCAUAGUGGUACUAUUUUGAUGAUAUUUUUCCAUAAAUAAAGUGUAUUUCAGAUUAUCUGUUUACAAGCUUUAUGAUUUUGAUUUUUUUUUUUUUUUGUUUUUGUUUUUGUUUUUUAAUUGUCUUUUGUCACAGAUUUUAAAAUGUUUCUACUGCGUAUAGCCAGGAAUGAAUGUUAACGUUGGGGCUGGAGGGAUUAUUUUUGCUUCGAGAUAGAACAGCCUACUUCUUGUUACACUUUUAAGUUGUUAAAUAUGCAAUUUCAUGUCCCCCAACCCCCUACAAUGAAACUUACGUUGUGUACAGUAAUGUAUUUAGGAGAAGAAAACCAACAGAAUAAGAAUCCGGUCUUUGCAAUGAUUUGUGCCUUUCUUUGCCACACACCAACGGGAGCUGGUUGCAGGUCAGGUGUCCAUCACGUAGCUACCCCCAUCUCCCGUCACCGGUGUCCGGUAGAGGUCACACUCACCGUGUAAGCUAGCUGCUCCACACAGCCAGGUACCUGCCAAGCGGUGGGACAGUGGCAGAGUUGAGAGCAUCUCUGUCUUCAUCAGCUGUGGCUUUUUUAGCUUUCCUGUUUUCAGUAGCCUCUCCUUUGGUUUUGAAUGUUUAUCUCCGCUUGGUUUUCAGUAGAUGAUUUCAGCGCCAGCCUCCGUCCCCAAUUUUGCACAGAGUGAACAGAAUAUGCAUUAUUAAAGCAAAAAUAAAGAAAAGUAAACUAUAAAAUGCGAAUAAAAAGUUGUAUUAUUUCCUGCACAAGGUU